CUGGAAGGUAAGUAACACAGCCAUUAACACAGCCAGGUCCUGGAAGGUAAGUAACACAGCCAGGUCCUGGAAGGUAAGUAACACGGCCAGUAACACAGCCAGGUCCUGGAAGGUAAGUAACAGCCAGGUCCUGGAAGGUAAGUAACACAGCCAUUAACACAGCCAGGUCCUGGAAGGUAAGUAACACAGUAACACAGCAAGGUCCUGGAAGGUCAGUAACACAGCCAUUAACACAGCCAGGUCCUGGAAGGUAAGUAACACAGCCAGUAACACAGC